AAGGUGCAAUGGAGCUCUGACCAAUUUAAAACACAUAGAUGUGCUGUGCCUGUGCUGAAAAGAUUGGAAAAGAAAAAGUGAACAUAUAGACUAUGUUCACAUAGACAGCAUGUGCUGUAUUCAUUCAUCAUUGCACUUGUAAGCUUCAACACCUGGGCUUGCUUUUAAACAAAAAAACCUAUGCUUAUUCCUAUCUUUGUAUCAGUCAGUUACAAAAGCUUCACUGUUCUCUUUUUUCCCCCACUUUUUCUGUUUGGUUUUUUUUUUGUCUUUUUCUGCCUGCCUCUGUCCAAAUAAUUUCUCCUUGAAGUUAACAGCCUAACACAUUUCUUGCCUCAUAAGAGUCGGACAUGCAAGAAAACAGUGCCAUGAGAGUACCUAAUACAGGGGAGUGUAUUCUGACAGCACCCUUCAUUUGCACAGUGGAAACCCUAUUGGAAUUGUUUAAUACAGUGCUGUUCUAAGAAUAAUUUAAGAUUCAAGCAAUAACUGAAGAUCAAACCAUCCUGAAUUCCCUAAAUACAUCAAAGGACUAGUUUCAGGGGAAUCUGAGAUCAUACAGGGAAAUAAAGGUGGAGAACUGGAAGGACAGGAAAAGUUCUCUUUCCUGUUCACUACUUUACAAAGCAAAUCUGUUCAAACCUCCUUUCAAUUAGUGAAACCAUAGAGUCACUUGACUUGUCAUUAUAAGGAUAAUUUAUGAAGAGCUUUGUGGUAAAUGUGUCUUUGUAAAUCAUUACAGUCAUUUUAGGAAAAGAAAUAGCUCACAGAAAAGGAUAGUGCUGAAAUAUUAUUUGUUUUUUUCCUUUCCAUAGAACAGGAAGGUCCCUCAGACACAGCUGGACCUUCAUGCUAUUGAAUACUGGAUGAUCACCCCAUACCUUCUGGCUUCUUAAUCAGGUCACUGAGUGGGGCCUACUCCCUGUCCCAGAAGCGGCUGCAAGUCAGUGGCUGGUAUUUAAGUGCAAAAUACACAACUACAAGGGAUAUGCUCUCACUGGAAUUUCAAAUCCAUUCAUUCCAGACCUUGGUUUCCUAUUUUUAUUUUAUACUGAAGAGAAUCAAGGUUGAAUCCAUUUAUCAUUCCAAGGUGUUGGCUCAGAGACACAGGAGUAUCUGCUAUCUUGUACUGGAUCUGCUGCAAGAGAAGUCUCAUGAGAAUAGGUACCUCAGGAGACUGAGAAACUCAAAGGCAGGCUAGUCUGUAAAAUGACAGCCAGCAAAAACACCCUCGAGGUGUUUUAGAGCCAUCUGGAUCUGGCACUGGGUGAUAUGCUUUAGUAGUUUAAGGAUUACAAUGAUAAUGCUGGGUGGAUGGCUGGACUUGGUGAUCUUGAAGACCUCUUCCAAUCUUGACAAAUCUAUGAUUCCAUGAAAAGAUGCAGUGGAGUAGACCAUUGAAAGAAAAGUCUGUGCAGCUCCUGAUGUGACCAGGAAGGCUGCUUCAGGCUCUGCGAGAUGAGGACUGGGGAAGACCUCGAACCAUGUCAGGUCCCAUAGCCUAUGGUCUCUGGAGAAUCAGCUUUGUGGAAGACUCCUUUGUAUUCUGUAACCACAAAAUUCUGUGCACCAUCAAUGGAGUAACAACAUAUUGCUGAGAAGUGAACUCCUUGCUUGAAGAGACUUCGCAACUUUUUUAGAAGAGAAUUGCCUCUAAUUUCAGUCAGUUUCAUUAAUUUACCUUGUGAUUUUCAAAUGACUCAUAUUUCUUUUAGUAAAACAGACUAAAGAACAUAACAUCAAACGCCCAAGUAGGUAUAGUAGGUAUAGUUUCCUGUUCCAAGUCCCUCUGGAAAUCCUGGAAACACAAGAACUGUUCAAAAUGUUGUCAUCUUUUCAUGGCAACAUCAUUAGCUGAAGUUUCUCCAUUUUAGCAGUCCACUGCCUUCACACCUGAUUUAGAAGGCAGUGGGUGAAGAGCAGAUUCAUUCACACACUGCCCAUGCAGCUCAGACUGCCAUGUCACUCACACAUCACGAUCAUUUCCCUUUAUUUCUUGCAUUUUAGGAGUUCUGAGCAUAGGUGAAGUACUGUUACAAUGCCAAAGAGUAAUUGCAUUUUAGGUGCUAUUUCAUGGCAGCAGAGAUAAUUCAAACCUCAGGUUGAUUCCAGGUUUCAAAUAUCAGAAAGCUGGAGAUGGUCAGUUCAAGGGUUCCAAACUUACCACAAGACUCACACUGGGCAAAUGUUAAGUCCAGGGAUUUGCCCAUAAUUAAUUUUUUUUAGUGCAGGAGAAAUUGACUCAUAUGGAAAACUACUGUAAAAGAAAAUUUGACAAAGACGAUGCCACGGUAACUUUUGCUCUCCUGAGAUAUUACAACCUGUGCAAGACAGUUUAUGAAAUAGAUAAUGAGCAUUUGAAAAGCAGUGGUUAAUUACACUUUAGAUAACAACCUCAAUGAGCCAGCUGUCAGGAAAGUGAUGGAUUCAGCUUCUAUUCUAUGUUUACCUGUAGAAAACUCUGCUGAGACCCAAGUAGGAUACUCACAUCUCUCUCUAGACAGAAAGUUCAUGAUAACAGGGGAUUUGAAGAGACAGAAGAUUGAUUUUCAUGAAAAGAUGAACUAGUCAUAUUUCUUUUUACUUUUAUCACAUAGUUGAACAGUUUAACUUUUGAAGAAUGUAAAUAAAUUUAUGUUGAAUGCU